GGAUUAGAUACCCUGGUAGUCCACGCCGUAAACGAUGUGCGCUAGCCGUUGGGGCUCCUAGAGUCUCGGUGGCGCAGUUAACGCGUUAAGCGCACCGCCUGGGGAGUACGGCCGCAAGGUUAUAACUCAAAGGAAUUGACGGGGGCCCGCACAAGCGGUGGAGCAUGUGGUUUAAUUCGAAGCAACGCGCAGAACCUUACCAGCCCUUGACAUGGGGAGUUUGGUCUUUGGAGACGAAGGCCUUCAGUUCUGCUGGCUCCCGCACAGGUGCUGCAUGGCUGUCGUCAGCUCGUGUCG
rnacentral:rRNA from 1 species